GACGAACGCUGGCGGCGUGCUUAACACAUGCAAGUCGAACGGUGAAGCGCCUUCCUUUUUGGUGGGUGUGGAUGAGUGGCGAACGGGUAAGUAACACGUGAGUAACCUGCCCCCUUCUUCUGGAUAACCGCAUGAAAGUGUGGCUAAUACGGGAUAUUCUGGGUCUGUCGCAUGAUGGGUCUGUGAAAGAUAUUGUUUCGGUGGGGGAUGGGCUCGCGGCCUAUCAGCUUGUUGGUGGGGUGAUGGCCUACCAAGGCGGUGACGGGUAGCCGGCCUGAGAGGGUGGACGGUCACACUGGGACUGAGACACGGCGCAGACUCCUACGGGAGGCAGCAGUGGGGAAUAGUGCACAAUGGGCGCAAGCCUGAUGCAGCGACGCCGCGUGAGGGAUGGAGGCCUGCGGGUUGUGAACCUCUUUCGCCAGUGAAGCAGGCCUGCCUCGUUUGUGGGUGGGUUGACGGUAGCUGGAUAAGAAGCGCCGGCUAACUACGUG
rnacentral:rRNA from 1 species